rnacentral:rRNA from 1 species
GUACCAGACUCCUACGGGAGGCAGCAGUGAGGAAUAUUGGUCAAUGGGCGGAAGCCUGAACCAGCCGAGUCGCGUGAGGGAAGAAGGCCCUGCGGGUCGCAGACCUCUUUGGACGGGGAGCAAGGCCGCCGACGUGUCGGCGGAAGGAGAGUACCCGUAGAACAAGCAUCGGCUAACUCCGUGCCAGCAGCCGCGGUAAUACGGAGGAUGCGAGCGUUAUCCGGAUUUAUUGGGUUUAAAGGGUGCGCAGGCGGCACGGCAAGCCGGGGGGCAAAUCGCGGGGCUCAACCUCGCUCCGCCGUUGAAACUGGGGGCCUUGAGUGGGCGAGAAGAAGGCGGAAUGCGUGGUGUAGCGGUGAAAUGCAUAGAUAUCACGCAGAACCCCGAUUGCGAAGGCAGCCUUCCGGCGCCCUACUGACGCUGAGGCACGAAAGUGUGGGGAUCGAACAGGAUUAGAUACCCUAGUAAA